rnacentral:rRNA from 1 species
UACGAAGGGAGCUAGCGUUGUUCGGAAUCACUGGGCGUAAAGCGCACGUAGGCGGCUUUGUAAGUUAGAGGUGAAAGCCUGAUGCUCAACAUCAGAAUUGCCUUUAAGACUGCAUCGCUUGAACGUCGGAGAGGUGAGUGGAAUUCCGAGUGUAGAGGUGAAAUUCGUAGAUAUUCGGAAGAACACCAGUGGCGAAGGCGGCUCACUGGACGACUGUUGACGCUGAGGUGCGAAAGCGUGGGGAGCGAACAGG